CCAUUCUUAGAUUGGUGGAGGAGGUGCCAUUUUCGAGGUACGUAUAUCCCAUUUGUACGAAAGGGCCCCUACGAAAGAGCAACUUCGUCGGCUAUAACCCCCUUGUUGCUGGAUGGGGAGCAUUAAGAUAUAGACGACCACGACCUAAUGCAUUAAUGGAAGUACAAAUGCCAGUGAUUAAGAACGCCGAAUGCAAAAUAGCUUAUUCCAAAUUUCCUAAUGCACUUGAUAUCACUGAUGGUAUAAUAUGCGCCGAACAUGCUCAGGGUGGAGAGGAUUCUUGUACGGCUGACCGCGGCGGUCCGCUGCUGAUACAACAUGAAUUAACCUCGUAUUUAAUAGGUAUUGUGUCUUAUGCUUAUAAGUGCGGCACAGCUGGGUAUCCCAGCGUUUACACUAGGGUCACAUCGUACCUUGACUUCAUUCUCCAAGCGAUGCAAUAAUAUGAUAUUACUGUUCCAUAAAUAUCAUUGUGUAAAAAACGUAAAGUUGGAUUUUCUUAUUGUGGAGAUAAGAAACAGCUCAAAUUUACAUUGUUUUGUACGUUACAAAUUAUAGGCUUAAAAUGUACGAAAUGUAACUUUGAAACGACACUAAUUUUUUACGCACGAUAAACCUCCACGACUUAGAUUAUAGAUUCCUAUACGACUCUCAGUAAAAAUUUAUCCGCACUCCAGAUAGUUAAAACUUCUGUCGACCGUAUUGAUCCAUCUGCACUCUUCGUAUGACGUCAAUAUCUGUUCAGUGCUGCUGCGCAGGUUUCUUUGUGUUACGUCAAUUCGUUUGUGACCGUUGCGCGAGUAAUGGCGCUUUGCAAUGGUGAUUUGCAGGAAAACAAUGCAGGAUGCUGUGAUUCGUUUCUUGUGGUCGGAGGUUAUGUUUGAUGCCUAUAUUUAUCAAAGAUUUAAUGCACAUUAUGGAGAAAGUGUUUUGUCACGAAGUGUGUUUGAAUGGGCACAAAAGUUCAAAGAAGAUCGCACAAGUGUUAUGAAAAAACAGCUGGACGCCCGUCCACAUCCACGAUGACAACAUUGAACGUGCUCAUGAACUUAUGCUCUAUGGAAUAGACGAGUGACACUGGAUAAUGUGGCAAAUCAUUUGCAAAUCAGCCACGGCUCUGCUUAUGCAAUAGUGCACGACAGAUUUGGAUUUUAAAAAGUUUAUGCGAGAUGGAUGCCGAAAAAGCUGAUGAAAAGGUGAAGACGACGAUGCAUUCGUGGUUCGCAGCUCAGCCCAAAACAUUUUUUAAUGAGAAAAUACGAAGGUCCUUCGGCAAAUGGACAAAGUGUAUACAGAAAUCGAGUGAUUAUGUCAAAAAAUGAUGUAUGUCUUUUUUGACAAUUGCUUAAAAUAAAUUCUACACCGACAGAGCGGGCUGUUAAUCUAGAGGCUGGAGUACAAAGAAGUGGCACAAUGAUGUGGGCUGAUGACAUUUAUAAUUAUCAAGGAAUCACCCCUACAUUCGCUCAGAAUUUUAAUGAAACUGUCCCUUGGGAAGGAAGAACUGAUACCUUGAUAUCACGGUUUGUACAUCCUAUAUAUACGACAAAUUUUAGAACAUUAUAUAACGAAGAACCAGAUCGUCGUGGCCAUGUGAUGUGAAUAAAAGGACUUGCAUCUGAUGAUAUUUUUAUAAUGUUAGAUAACAUAACUAAGCAUCUUCACAGUAAGAUAGGAUGACAUGGUUUACAUGAUCUUAAUGUUGUUCACUUGAGUGAUGAUAUUAUAAGGAAAAGUGUAAUAUCACAGGAUAUUUAUGUUUAGUAACCAGUAAUUCAGAGAUUGGUAUUCAUGGUUACUAUAACGAGGCUGUAGAAACGCACCCUUUCUUCUUUGCAAAUGGUCCUGUAUUUAUGUCUAAGCCGAAACUGGAACCUCUGAAUAAUUUAGAUUUAUUCUUGUUAUUUUCUAAAAUACUUAUCUACAGUAUACCAUAAGGAAUGAUACCGUAUCGCACCUAAGCAAGUGCCUUAAGAAACAUCAACAGGAUAUCACAGUAAUCCCUUAUCGACUGAUAUUUGUAGCCACUACAAUAUCUAUGACACUGGUAGUAAUUAUAAGAACAAUAACGAUGUUCUAUAAGAGGAAAUGAUGAUUAGGAACAAAAACUUACAGGAGAUAUCAUGCGGUGGAUGGAUAAUAUGUAAAAAAUAUUAAGCAGUAUAUGAAUUUUCAUAUUGCGUAGAGAUAACAAAAUGAAUUUUAAAAAAUGUCGACAUGGUAAUAAGAAAUAGCAUCAUGACAAAGAAUAUAUAAACACAGUUUCAUUUUUUAUAAAUAAAAAUUUGUUGUUCCAGAUUUUGAAAUAUAGUGAAACGUUUAAUUAGUAUCUUAAUAUCUUUAAAUAAUUAUUAUUUUAGAAUCAAUUGUAAUUGUAUCAUACGUACUUUUGAAUUCGUGCAAGAACAUAUGUUAUUUUGAAGUAGUUAUUAUUAGGAAAUUGUUAGACGCGAACAGUAUGCGAAAAGUUAGUAUGUAGUGUAAUAAUUAUCAAUCAAAACACAAGAAUUAAAUUCUUUAGGAAAAAAUUUCCGGAAUUUCUUAUUUACAUGAUUAUAAAGAAAUCCAUAAUAAAAAGGAGCUGCUUUCUAAUACUUCUCUUCCUUGUAAUGCCUAUGUUAAUAAUAACGAGGUUCGACUUUUUGUUUAUAGAGGGAUACUGGAAAAUUUGAAAGUACAGUACCAUUGGGAAGAAAAUCACGAUAUUGAAAACGAUAUUUGCAAAUUGAACAAUAUUCC